rnacentral:rRNA from 1 species
AGUGGAUGGGGAGCAACCUAGUUGUGCGUGUGUAAAGGUAGUGCCAAGAAAAGCGAUGAUCAUGUUGAAAAUCAAUUCCCGGUACCCGAAACCGACACAGGUGGGCAAGUAGAGAAUACUAAGGGGCGCGAGGUAACUCUCUCCAAGGAACUCGGCAAAAUGACCCCGUAACUUAGGGAGAAGGGGUGCCACCGAGAGGUGGUCGCAGUGAAGAGGCCCAGGCGACUGUUUAGCAAAAACAUAGGUCUCUGCAAACUCGAAAGAGGAGGUAUAGGGGCUGACGCCUGCCCAGUGCCGGAAGGUUAAAGAAGUUGGUCAGUUUUAGGAUGAAGCUAGCGACUGAAGCCCCGGUGAACGGCGGCCGUAACUAUAACGGUCCUAAGGUAGCGAAAUUCCUUGUCGGGUAAGUUCCGACCCGCACGAAAGGCGUAACGAUCUGGGCGCUGUCUCGGAGAGAGGCUCGGCGAAAUAGGAUUGUCUGUGAAGAUACGGACUACCUGCAUUUGGACAGAAAGACCCUAUGAAGCUUUACUAUAGCUUGGAAUUGUGUUCGGGCUUCCUGUGCGCAGGAUAGGUGGGAGGCGUAGAAGGUAUUCUUGUGGGGAUACUGGAGCCAACGGUGAGAUACCACUCUCAGGAGGCUAGAAUUCUAACUUAAUUAAGGACAGUUUCAGGUGGGUAGUUUGACUGGGGCGGUCGCCUCCAAAAAGGUAACGGAGGCGUACAAAGGUUCCCUCAGACUGGUUGGAAAUCAGUCGAAGAGUGCAAAGGCAGAAGGGAGCUUGACUGCGAGAAGUACAGUUCGAGCAGGGUGGAAACACGGUCUUAGUGAUCCGACGGUGCUGUGUGGAAGGGCCGUCGCUCAACGGAUAAAAGUUACUCUAGGAUAACAGGCUGAUCUCCCCCAAGAGUUCACAUCGACGGGGAGGUUUGGCACCUCGAUGUCGGCUCAUCGCAACCUGGGGCGGAAGUACGUCCCAAGGGUUGGGCUGUUCGCCCAUUAAAGCGGUACGUGAGCUGGGUUCAGAACGUCGUGAGACAGUUCGGUCCAUAUCCGAUGUAGGCGUGAGAAUAUUGAGAGGAGCCUUCCUUAGUACGAGAGGACCGGGGAGGACGCACCGCUGGUGUACCUGUUAUGAUGCCAAUUGUAAACGCAGGGUAGCCAAGUGCGGAGAGGAUAACCGCUGAAAGCAUCUAAGUGGGAAGCCCACCUCAAGAUGAGUAUUCUGGUGUAAGGUCACGGGAAGACGACCCGUAAAUAGGCACGAGGUGGAAGUGCAGAGAUGUAUGAAGCCGAAGUGUACUAAUAGACCGUCGGCUUGACC